rnacentral:rRNA from 1 species
CGGGUGAGUAACGCGUGGGUAUCUGCCUAUUAGUGGGGGACAACUUGGAGAAAUCCAAGCUAAUACCGCAUAAUCUCUACGGAGGAAAGCGGGGGAUCUUCGGACCUCGCGCUGAUAGAUGGGCCCGCGUCUGAUUAGCUAGUUGGUAAGGUAAUGGCUUACCAAGGCGAUGAUCAGUAACUGGUUUGAGAGGAUGAUCAGUCACACUGGAACUGAGACACGGUCCAG